rnacentral:tRNA from 1 species
GCGGAUGAGGCCCAUGUGGACGGGCGGGAGUCUUCCAAACUCCAGGCAGCGGGUUCGAGGCCCGUCAUCCGCUCCA